rnacentral:rRNA from 1 species
UACGGGAGGCAGCAGUGGGGAAUAUUGCACAAUGGGCGCAAGCCUGAUGCAGCCAUGCCGCGUGUAUGAAAAAGGCCUUCGGGUUGUAAAGUACUUUCAGUCGUGAGGAAGGUGUUAAGGUUAAUAACCUUAGCAAUUGACGUUAGCGACAGAAGAAGCACCGGCUAACUCCGUGCCAGCAGCCGCGGUAAUACGGAGGGUGCGAGCGUUAAUCGGAAUUACUGGGCGUAAAGGGCACGCAGGCGGUUAAUUAAGUUGGAUGUGAAAUCCCCGGGCUUAACCUGGGAAUGGCAUUCAAGACUGGUUAGCUAGAGUCUUGUAGAGGGGGUUAGAAUUCCAUGUGUAGCGGUGAAAUGCGUAGAGAUGUGGAGGAAUACCGGUGGCGAAGGCGGCCCCUGGACAAAGGCUGACGCUCAUGUGCGAAAGCGUGGGGAGCAA